rnacentral:rRNA from 1 species
UACGGGGGGUGCAAGCGUUAUUCGGAAUUAUUGGGCGUAAAGGGCGCGUAGGCGGUCCUUUAAGUCAGAUGUGAAAGCCCGGGGCUUAACCCCGGAAGUGCAUUUGAAACUAAAGGACUUGAGUAUGGGAGAGGGAAGUGGAAUUCCUGGUGUAGAGGUGAAAUUCGUAGAUAUCAGGAGGAACUCCAGUGGCGAAGGCGACUUCCGGGACCAAUACUGACGCUAAUGCGCGAAGGCGUGGGGAGCAAACAGG